UACGGAGGGUGCGAGCGUUGUCCGGAAUCACUGGGCGUAAAGGGCGCGUAGGUGGCGCGGUCAGUCAACGGUGAAAGUUCGGGGCUCAACCCUGAAUCGGCCGUCGAUACUCCCGUGCUUGAGCACUGUAGAGGCAGAUGGAAUUCCGGGUGUAGCGGUGGAAUGCGUAGAGAUCCGGAAGAACACCGGUGGCGAAGGCGGUCUGCUGGGCAGUAGCUGACACUGAGGCGCGACAGCGUGGGGAGCAAACAGG
rnacentral:rRNA from 1 species